UUCUUCCUAGUCUAUCUUAGCCUGGAAGCUCAGCUGAAACCUGUCCACCAAGGGUGACCCUGCUGGUAUUUGACGUACUGGUGGCAAAUCUUACAGUAUCACAGUAGCACACAAACCACCACAGUAUGACAAACUGACAGACACGUGGUGGUCUUUGGUCUUAACUAGAUAAUUUUUUUUAAAACAUGCAAAUGCAACUAUAUGAUUCGUCUGUUGUAUUCCUGAUCGGAACGUUAUCCUGGCACCAUAUAGUUCUUCUGGCCUUAAGGUGGAGAAGGCACUGUGGUUCAUGCAGAGCGUGACUGGCCAUGCUUGGUAAAGCUCAGUUCUCAGGUCACUUCCGGCUUCCGACUUUCUAUAAAUGCUC